AACUUUUUUUCAUAAAAACCAUUAUAUUAAAUUAAUCCUCACCAAUAAUGAUUCAAACAAAAGUAUAGUCUAUGUCAAAGAAAAUAAUUGCUUUCGUAGCAUUUUAUGUAGGAAAUUGGUGGAUCUUGGUUCAAAAACUAAUCCCAAGUUUAAUUGGUCUUUUUGACUAGAGUAAGCAGCUUCUCUCUCUCUUAACUCUCUCGAAACUUUCAGAGAGAGAAAAAGCCAAUCUCUUCUUUUGUCUUCCGAUCUUAUGUUGUUUUUCAUCUCCGGCUUAGCCAGUGUUAUGGUCGGAUUGAAGUUUUCCAGACUUAUCUUUGUAUAGGAUCUGGAUUUUGUUUGUUCUCUCUUUCUAGAUGAUUUCAAAUUCAAACCCCGUUUGCUAUUUGAAAGAUUAUGUUUGCUUCACUGUCAGCUUGGCUCUUCUCUUCUGAAGAAGUAAUAUCUUCGUCAACUUAUUUCACCUUCUGGUAUGAAGUGGACCUUUGGAGGUCUUGAGGCGGAGUUUUCUUUGAGGAGUUUUGGAGUUGAAAUCUAAGGAUUCAUUUGAGUCUAUGGCUGGAAAUUUCAAGACGGUAGCAGCAAAAUCUUGCAGAUCGGCAGCGGUGGAGCCUGUAGAAGGAGUCAGCGAUGAUGGAUCUGAAGUCCGGCGACGGCGCUGUGCUAGAUCGUGGAUGUGGCUGGUGACGAUCGUGGCAAAUCUCCUCCUCUCGUUUGGACACGUAUCCACACGUGGCACUUUCACUCUUAUCCUUAUCAUUAAAAUUGGAUUAGGAUAAGUGGGCUUAAUUUCAAAUGAAGUUGUAAAUGUAGGAGGAAUUGAGCUUCUGUUUCAUCUCAUGUAAUACCCAUUUGGAUUUUCAUAUAAAUAAAUAUGAAAUGGCCGACAAAAAAAAAAAAAACUAAUCCCAAGUCUAAUUUUAUAAUCUCAAAAUCACAGCAAACAUCAUGACUCCACACUAAUAAACAAAAGCACCACUUCGCCAAACUCACAAUCCAUAAGACGUUACCUUAUUACGAUAUUGGUUUAGAAUUAAAUAAACUUAAGUCUCUUGGUUUAGUUGAUUUACUCUCAUUCCAAUAAUCAAUAAAAAGCAAAGGCUUGAGAAACGGCAAGAAUUUCGUCUAAAAUGGCGUGAGUUGCGAAAGCUUUUUUAGAAAAAACAAAAUUUGUUUUUUUCUAGUUUCUUCUCAAUAUCACCGAUUGAAAAAUUUCUUUCCUGAGAUCCAAUUUUUUGCCCACUCUUUGCUGAAAAUGUCUACAAUUUAUCGAUUUUAAUUUGGAUGUACAAAAUUUUGAUUUUGGAGAUCUUUACCUUUGUUGGACGAGAAAUUUGCGAAGAUUUAGAGUACUUCGGACCCUAGUAUGCAUAUUUAGCGGUGAAAACAAAACUUGUAGUCAUCAAUUCUACAACAAUUUCAUGAGAGUAGUAGUAUAUUAAUCUAAAGAGAAACUGUUAUAAUUUAGCUAGAAGCCUAGAACAUGUCUUUAGAUAACUACCUUAGCUUUACAUGACUUCUGUGGCUAUAAUUUCAUCAAAAAAAACUUGUAAUCAUAGCUCCAACAUGAAGUUGAAGAUUUUUGCUUUCCUCGUUAUCCAAAAUUUCAAAGACCAUUUGCUCAUCUUGAAGAUCAAAAAUUAGUUUAGAUUCUGCUCAACUCUUUAUCUGAGUCCCAUAUUAUACUAUCUAACCAUACCUCAUCCCCCAAAUCCCUCUAGCGCAAUUCCAGUCUGCUAAAGCGCCCAAGGGCGUCGUUUUCAAGUCGCUUUAUCUUCUUUACUCCAGCAGCUUCAUCAUUUACACUAAAAUGAUUCUCACAAAAGACUCCAACAGAUUGGCAAAGAAAGGCACACACAUAUUAUUGUCAGCUUGAACUUGGUCUCUAGAGUUCAUCAUAUUCAAGUUUUCUUCUUCAGACUCUGCAUUUGUUCCUUAAACCAGUAUACCUUCCGGCUCAAAUCCGGGUUCGAAGACCCCACCAGAAUUACCACUAAUUUGUAUAUAUAUGUAGUUGGACCUUCCCUGGACCAAAAUUCUGAGAGAGAAAUCUUGCGAAAGGCAAACCUGUUUUCCAAAAACGACUAUCUUGUCAAUACGCCUUAGAGAGAGCUUCCCUUUAGGUGACCGAACCAACAAGUAAUCUGUUGACUGCAAUCACUGUGGAAAAAUAGGUGCUUUAUACAUGUUUGUUUCAACAAAUGACUGACUGCAACCAACAUGUAUCUCCCCAAGGAAAGGACACUUGUCCCCAGGUUCUAGAAUCAUCACAUUCCCUAAGGUGUCACUUUGAUUGUGCAGCCAGUUGCCACGUUGAUCCUCUGGGGAUGACUUCUGAUAAUAUGUGCACAAAUUUGCACCAAUUCCUGCAUUGUUGAGCAUCAGCAGCCUCUCCUCGUAGUACCUACAAAAAUCAAUGCAGAAAAAUAUUGACGUCCAAUCAAUGUCUUUUCCUACUGAUAGAUAUAGAUCAAAAUAACCGCAAGAGCCACAAAGUAGCAUCCAUUAAAAAACUAAACUAAACAAAAGUCUCAAAUAGAAGUUCAUCUUACUCCAUCAAGAAAACAUGGCCAUCUUUAGUAGAUAAGUCAGAUUUCUUCUUCAAUGCCCCAUGAGGUCUCAAAGAUUUAUUUUCGCCAGGUAGCCUCUGUGCCCAUGGCCACAUAUGUACUUUACUACGUAUAAGAUGAACCAAGGAAUUUGGUUGAACAUUUUGUGCAGCAAGAGACUUUUCAUCCUCAAGUUCCUUUCCCAUAUAGAACAUCUUCACUAUAAUUUUCUCUAUACCAACGUGUAGCUUGCUUCCUUUACCCCCAGGCUCUUAACUAUAAUUGAGAUUAAAUAACCUAAUCCUAAAUUUGAUUUUGACCUAAUUAGUGAUAGUUAAGUAGUAAAAAUUAUUAUUUUGAUACUUUUUUACAUUUUAAUUUUUGAUAGUUUUUUUACCCAAUUUUUACUAACCAGAAAACUAUUAUAUCUUGAUUUUAAUUUUUUACAGACAAUAUAAUUUUUUUUUUUUUUUUGUCGUCUAGAUUUAUUAUUAAUUGCAAAUUAUGAGAACUAUUACAUAGACGAUUCUACAACUGACAAUUCCUUCCAACCCUUACUAGAUUCACGACAGACUACACUUCCUUUUUCGUAAUCUUGAUGAAUACCUUCAAUGAUCCACGACCUGGCAACACUUCCUUCUCUGCGUAGAAUCCUGGCGAACGGCUAUAAUUGUACAUCGCUGGAGAUCUCUUGCACACUUGCCUCCAUUAAUCUGCAAAUUUGUUAAUAAAUCGCAAUACCUGGGACUCGAACCCCAUACAUUUUGGUGUAGAAGCAUUAAUCAACCCUUAGUCAACCAAUGGGCCAAAGGGGCUUCCACAGACAAUAUAAUUAUUUACGAAUAAUUUUUUUUUGUUUUUUUUUUUGUAGCUUAUUCAAUUGCUACAUGAGCCACCUAAAUUGGGCCUAAAGAUAAUGAUGGUCCACAAAAAUUGGGCCUAAAGAUAAUGAUGGUCCACAAAAAUUGGGCCUAAACCCAAAAUGACCUGAAUAUCAAAACUUCGACAGUCACUGUAACAACAUUUUAGAUCUUUCCCGAAGAAGACGAACAAGAAGAAGAGAGAAAUGAGGCCGAUGCAGCUGGAUAUGUUGUCGGAGAUGGAUGAUGCAGGCUCUUCAAUGGCCAUGGACGUUGAUGACCUCGAAGCCAUGGAGAUUCUCAACGAAGGAGGACUUGUUUCAGAUAACAAGCUCGCCGACGCCGAUUUCUUCAACAAAUUCGAGGAUGAUUUCGAUGACACCGAUAUCAACUAAAUCCGGUUAAUUUCCUCUUUAAGAUUUCAGUUUUUGUCCUAAUCUUUAUUUAAUUUGUGGAGAAACCUAUGUAAUGUGUGUAAGUCCUGGGAUUUUAAUGUUUGUGUUAUGUAACAACUGAUAACAAGUUUCGUUUCGAUUUCAUGUUUUUGGAUCACUAAAACAUUUGAUUUGAGUGUUAUUUUGCUUUGGUAUUGAUUUGAUUUGUUUUUGCACAAAUUUAGAAUGUUUUUGCCUUGUUCUCGAAUUGAAGAUGUUUUUGGAGAUUGAAACCUAAUUUCUUUAUAAUUUAGAGUCUUUUUGGUGAUUUUUUUCAAUGUAUGUGAAUGUUAUUGAUAUUGGCUUAAGAUGGAAACUAAUUGAUUCUCCAUGGCGAUUGCUUGUAAUUUCACCAUUUGCAUUCUUUGAAACAUGUGUUGAUGUGUUGCAUUGUGUUGAUAUUCAUGUGGCUCACCGGGUCUAGAGAAACUUCCCGAGGAACUAAGCGAGGAGUCGUUUCGAGUAAACUCCUAUGUGAGAGAUGAAAUCCUCAUGUAAGCUGUAACUUUCCACAAGUAGUGAGUAAGUGAACUAGGGACCUCAUAAGGAAGAACAUAUUUCUACCUUAAUGAUAUAUAGUCUCUUGCAUCUCCCGUUUAACUCGAAACAUCGGUCAUUGAUUUAUACAGAUAUGGUAUCUUGUUCCAUGUUGAAUGCUUGUAAUGUCACCAUCUCUCACCAUCUCGUGGUUUUUGAGUCCUGUGUUGCAUUGUGUUGGAUCAUAUGGUAUGUUAGGAGGGGGUGUAUGAUUCCCUUGGCCAAGCUCUGUUGUUGCAUUGUCAUAUUAUGUUCUCUGGGCCGGUUACGGUGCUUUGUAGAUGGAAAUAGUGUGAUUGAUGUUCACCUAUGGUAGAAAGGAGAAGGCAGCUAAGCAUAAAGAUGUCACUUGUCAGUUCCGAGCAGUCUUUGUUGCUUACCUUAUGGUCUUAUGUAUGUAGUGUAGCCAACUUCAUGAGAUUUCAACAUUCGUUAGCAUUUUAUAAGAUGUAGAUAAAUGUCGGAUCACUCAAAUUUUGUGUAUCUUCUUAUCAGAAAGGGACACAAAUUAGCGUGACCUCUCUUCAGAAUCAUUUAUCGUAAAAAGACACGGAAGAUUAACAAUUGAUAUAUCUUAGCCGUCAGAUUGCUCAACCAUAUAAAUAAAGACUGAAGAAAUACACCAUACCUUCUUUAACUAACCAAAUCAAAAUCUUUCAUUGAAUAAAAAUAAAAUUAAUGCAUUUAAUUGUAAAAUCAAAUCGCUAACCAUUCUUUUAUAACACCGACAUAUUUAUUAUAAAAUUUAAUUUCUAACCAUUUUGUUUAUUAAACCUAAACCGACAUAUAAUUUUGUUUAAUUGUAAAAUCUAAACUCUAAUCAUAUUUUAUAAACUCAAAUGGAAAUUUAGCUUCGUGUAAUUGUAAAAUAUAAACUCUAACCGCCUCUUAUAAAUCCAAACUGACAUAUAACCUCGUUUAAUUUUAAAAUCUAAACCCGAACUCUUCUUUAUAAAUCCAAAUCGACAUUUAACCUCGUUUAAUUGUAAAAUGUAAACCUUAACUUCCUUAUAAACUCAAACCGAUAUAUCACUUCGUUUAUUAUUGUAACAUUAAAUCCUAAUAUUUCUCUUAUAAACCCAAACCGACAUAGAAAUUCUAACACCAAUGAUAUAUUGUUAUAUGAUGUAUUUUAGUGAAUUAUGUUAACUUCUUAUAUGGAUAAGAUAAAAUUUUUUUUAUUGUUUAUUUUUAUUAGGUGUCAGAUUCUGAUUGGUUAGAAAAAUUGAGGUUAUUAAAAGGGUUCAACCAAUCAUUUUUCAUUUUUUUAAAUUAUAAUUAGGAAAUUAUUCCGAUUUUAUAACCGAAUUAAUUAUUCUUGGGUUAUGUGCAUUCACAUGUGUUUUAAUAGGCUUAAAACAUAGUACUAUUUCGACUAGCUAAGUGACAAUCUAUACUAUAUAAAAGUCGAGGCUAUAAGCCUAUGAGGCCGUCCACCUAGGAUUUUAAACGACCAAUCAGGAUUAGACACUUCGUCAGUUAACAUUUUUAUACACCACUUUAAUUAAUAUUUUUUAAAUUCUAAUAUUUUCUAUACUUAAAUAUUAAUAAAAAGGGGAAAAAACAGUAAAUGGAAAGGAGAAAAAUGUGAAUUUUUGAAAUAACAAAAUAUAGAAAUAAGAAAAAUGUAAAAAUAGAUUUUAAUAUUAUUAUGCAGCGAAUAUAUUUUUAAUUGAAACUUUUCUAAUUAAAAAAUGUAAAAUUACUGAAGGUAAUUAUAACGAUUUGUCCUACACAUUAAACUAUAAAUACUGAACUUCGACCACACAAUUAGUAUUCAGUUACAAACGAAUUUACUAUUAUGCGGCUUUGAUUUUUUUUUCUCGUGCUACAUAUUUUUGAUUUAUUUCUCUAUGAACUAUAAAAAUAUUGUUUAAUUUUGCUGAUUUUAAACUGUUUGAUUUGUAUUUAAGGUUACAUUAAUGAAUCGAGUCUAGGUUCAUUCAAUUGUGACUUUUAAAGCAAUUACAAGGUAUUAUUGAUCUUAUACUAUAUAAAAGGCUAUAAGCUCAUGAGGCCGUCCACAUGAGAUUUUAAACGACCAAUCGGGAUUAGACAUUUCGUCGGUUAACAUUUUUACACACCACCUUAAUUAACAUUUUUAAAUUUUAAUAUUUUCUAUACUUAAAUAUUACUAAAAAGGAAAAAAAAACUAUAUAUGGAAAGAAGAAAAAUCUGAAUUUUUGAAAUAACAAAAUAUAGAAAUAAGAAAAAUGUAAAGUAUAGAUUUUAAUAUUAUUACGCAGCGAAUAUAUUUUUUUUUGGAAAUUUUCUAAUUAAAAAUGUAAAAUUACAGUAGGUAAUUAUGACGGUUUACCCUAGACAUUAAACUAUAAAUACUGAACUUCGACCAUACAAUUAGUAUUCAGUUUCAAACAAAUUUACUAUUAUGCGGCUUUGAUUUUUUUUUUCUCGUGCUACAUAUUUUUUGAUUUAAUUCUCUAUGAACUAUAAACAAAUAUUGUUUAAUUUUGCUGAUUUUAGACUGUUUGAUUUGUAUUUCAGGUUACACUAAUGAAUGAGUAUAUGUUCAUUCAAUUGUGACUUUUGAAGCACUUACAAAGUAUUAUUGAUCCUAAAAUUUAUGUAGCUUUUAAAUUGUUUCCUUGUGUGGAUAUUGUUAACUUCUUUAUGUUAAAUAUAUGCAUGAAAAUAUGUGAAAAUAGAUUUAAUACUCAAUAGAAUCCCUGAUAAUAGGAUUUCUCUCCCAGGCGAUAUUCCCGAGACACUACAAAAUCCACCGUCUUCCGGCGCCGGUGUAGCUGUGGCUCGCCGGCGUCGGACGUUGUCUUCUCUUUGCUGUUCCGCUCCUCUCCCGAAGAAUCCAAACGAGUUUCGUCUCUUGUUUUUCAAGCUCUUCAAGUUUUUAGCCCGUCCUCUCUGCCUCAUUCCAUCUUCCAUCAUGUCGUUGCGUCUCGUCGAGUGCAGAUCUGGUAGCAUCUCUCUGCAGAUCUUUGGCUCAACGGUUCGACGUGCUCCGCCUCCCACCAAAAGAUCCAGCAGCUACUUCGCUGUCAGCUCUUUUCUCGUCUUUUUCCCCAGCCGCGUGAAUCGGCUCUCCCGUGUGAAGCCGAUGGUUGUUGUCUCCUCAACUUCCCUUUCCGGUGCUCUUCGCCCUCUCUUGAUCUCCGUGGUCGGUGACCCUCUCGCCUCCGUCAACCGCCGCCGCCGCAUGUCAUCCUCCUCGCUUGGGUUAGGUCAAAGCCCCACUUUACAAUUUCAGUGGAAGGGUUUCAAUUGGGCUUGGCCCAUCUUUGGGCUUUCUGGAGGUUGUUGUGGCCCAUUGCUUUUUGGGCUGCAAGCUUGUUUUGUUAUGCAAACAAGUUUUUUGGCCUGCCCUAAUGUCGUGCACUUUUCACCAUCUGCGCCCACCACCGACUUCGUCUUCCCCCGGUCACCUUUGGCCACGCCUUCACCAUCUCCGACUUCUUCACCCACCGGUUCACCGGAUACUUCUUCGGGUUCCGUCUACCUACACUGGAUACUUCUCCGGUAGACCUAGGUUGCUUCUGGUUUAGAACCACUUUUGUUGGUUCGGAUUCCGCCCAAAUUCGGCGAAGAUUGAUUACCGGAUACUGCUCCGGCGUUCCCCUGCCUGUGUCUUUGGCAGAUCCAGGUUGUUCUCAACCUAGAACCACGUUUGUUGGUUUGCAUCUCAACGACUAUUCAGUUUGGUGCUUUGUCACCUCUUUCUUGACAGCCAAUUUUAGGAUUGAUUUGGUUGCCCUAGUGGCAGAUUCAAUCUCGCACAACAUAGCCCUUUGUGUGUUUUGUGUUGUCCAAGGGGUCAUCUCUCUUCUUCGCUCUAGUGUUAUCAAGGUUCAAGGACGCCAUGAUGACGAUUAUUGCUUAGGGGAUAUGAUUGCUUUGAUCUAUCCUUCUAUCUACUUUUCUUUUAUGUAUUGGUUUGCUUUUGGUUCAGGGAGUUUGAUUGCGUUGGCUCCUCCCUUUGUAACUCUUCCCUCCUUUGAGGAUGAUUAGCUAUGAUAUAAAAUUUUGGUGCACAAAAAAAAUAUAUGCAUGAAAAGUGGUUCGCAUGUGGAAAACAAAGAAAUCAAAUAAAAAAAAAAGUGAAAAUAAUUAUAUAUUGAAGAAGAAGUACAAGAAAAACAAAAAAGGAAAAGAAAAAGAAAAAAAAGUUAAUUAUAUAUAGGGUUCUAUAUAUUAUUAUCGUUUAAUUAAUUUGAGUUCUCUGUUUUUGAAUUAUCUUUUUAACCAUGCAAAGUUUUUUUCAGAAACCAUAGUUUGGCGUGUUUGUUUGCCAAAUCUAACCGAUUAUGAUAACAAUUAUAUUAAAGCUGGCAGGUGACUAUUUUUUUUUUUUGUAAUUGUCCGUAUUAUUUUGUAAGUAUUAUGAAGAUUCUAUUGUUAUUCAAUUUAAGAUUUUUCAAAACUCUAUCAAAGUUUGAUGUUAUUUGUUUAUGUGUUUGUAAAUAGUAAUCUAAAAUCUUCAUAAAUUUAGAGUUAUUGGAGACCAUGAUUUUAUAAAUUUGAAAUUCUAAAAGCUAUAAAAAUUUCAUACCUUAAGUCGAAACUUCUAGCUUCUAUACUACAUAAAAGUCGAAGUUAUAAACUUCUUAAACUAUCCAAAAACUUUUAACACACAAAUCAUGAUUAGCCAUCUCAGUAAUUAGCAAUUUUAGAUUCCAAUAAUUUUCUAUGUUAAGAUACUUAUAAAAAGGAAAAAACAAUAAAUAAUAUAUGAAUAUAUAUAUGGAAUCAAGAAAAAUGUAAACUUAAAAAUAAACAUAUGGGAAAACAAAAAAUGUAAAAGUUUGUUAUUAGAAUAUAUAAAAUAAUAUCAAUGGAAAAUUAAGAUACUUAUAAAAAAAAAUUUUAAAAAAUAAUAGCUAUGGAAACAAGAAAAAUGUAAACUUAAAAAAACAUAUGCAAAAAAGAAAAAUGUAAAACUUUUGUUAUUAGAAUAUUUAAAACAAUAUCAUUAUUAGUCUCACCAUAUUGGCCAAUAUCCCUUCUUAAUCACAAUUAGGGGUUGACAUUUUAUUUUGAUGCCGAGUUAAAUUUGAUUCGGUUAUUUCGAUUUAAUAAAACAUCAAGUCUCUAAUCAAACUCAUUUUGGUUCAUUUUAAUUCGGUUUGGAUUAAUUUUGUUUGGCUUGAUUUGGUUUGUUAUUUGAAAUAAAUUAUUUGUAAAUUUGAAAAAUGUCAAUAAAUUGAAGCAAGAAAAAUACAAAUUUUAUAAUUGGGAUAAAUCAAUAAAUUUUUUGAAAAGAAUAAUCCAUCAAGAAUUAUGUGAAAAAUAAAUAAAUAAAUAAAAGGUAUACAAUAUAUACAUGUAACAUGUGUAAGUUUAUUAGUUUGUUUCUUUUCAUCUAAAUGUUGAUUGGUAAUUUUUAAUGUUUCAAGUUUGAUGUUUGGAUAUUAGAUCAUUAUAAUUACUAAAAUUUUGAAGUCUUUAUAUAUAUAUAUAUAUAUAUAUAUAUAUAUAUAUAUAUAUAUUUGAGUAAAAUAUGAUACAUAAUAUUUGUAAUAUGUUUUAUACCAACUUUUAUCCUAUAUACUUUUCUUUUCUUAAAACAAAUUUAACCAACAUAAAUUAUACUAAAAAUAUAAAUAAAACAACAUUUAUGCUAAAACUAAUUUAAAAAAUGAAACACAAUUGUAAUUAAUGGAUUACUAAGCCAAAAACUAUAUUAAAAAAAUCAAUAAAAUUAAACCCCCGCGUAGCGGGGGUUAUAACCUAGUUAUUUAAAGAAUUUUGUGUUUGAGGAAAAUUAAUCAUUGACUUACACCUAGAGAGUAAAUUUUCAAGUGAAAACCACUAGACCAAAAUUCACUUGGUUAAAUAUAGAGAUAAAUUUAUUUUUUCAGAGAACAGAAACUACUCGAAAUUUUUAAUCAUGAGCGAUAACUUUAUAUUUCGACAAUUUGAACCAAAGACUCCCAAAAUCCAAUCUUCUAAGUGAUAUAUAGCUGAGACAACUCAAAAAGGAAAACGAGACUAAGAAAUGAAAGAUGUAGAAGCUAGUCGUUUAUUAUUGUGAGAGAUGCCUUACAAUUUCUUUUGAUUUUUCUCUGUAAGCCCUAGUCGUCUCUAAUGUCUUUCGUCCCAAAUUUCAGGUAACUAUUUAUCUCUAUCACUCGUGAUUCAUGUUGAUUCGUCUAUGGAUUCCAAUUCUGAUAUUGCUCGCGAUUAAUGAUGCAGUAAAUCCCUAGUCUUCUUCAACUUUCUCUAAUGUCGUUCAUUCCAAACUUUCAGGUAACGGAUCAUCUCUCUCUCUCAUGAUUCAUGUUGAUUCUUCAAUUGUUGACGACCCUGAUAUUGCUAGCGAUUAAUGCUUUUCUUUCUCGUUUCGGAUUUGAUCAAUCUUUGUAUCUUCAAUCUCUUGCUCAUUUAUCUAAUUAAAGUCUCGAUUAAAGCUUCCUCUUCUUUUUCGUUUGCGGAUUUGAUCGAUUUUUGCAUCUUUAGUCUCUUGCUCAUUUAUCUAAUUGAAGGUUUGAUUCAUCAAAACAUGAUUGAUGAAUAUCGCGAUUAAUGCUUCAUCUUCUUUCUCGUUUGCGGAUUUGAUCGAUAUUUGUAUUUUUAAUCUCAUGCUCGAUUAUCAUCUCGAGGAAGAUGUAUUGGGGAUAAUAAUCACACAUUGGAAUGAACAAGAAAUAUUGACUAGUAUAUACUCCCUCCGUUCUUUUAUAAGUGAUGUUUUAAGAGAAUGCACAUAGAUUAAGAAAUCAUGUAAUUUUUGUUUAUUUCUAAACUAAAACAUCAUUUAUUAUCUAAUCAACCAAUAAAAAAACAAUCUACAGAAUAUAAAUCGUCAAAACCAAUAAAAACAAUUAAUUUGACAUUAAAAAUUGAAAACAUCAUCUAUUUAAGAACAAAAUUAGAAACUUAAAACAUCACUUAAAAAAUAACGGAGGGAGUAAGUUAUAUGAGUCAAUUCACUCAUUGACAAUUAAUUUUUGGUUAUAAGCUCAUAUUCUAAUAAUUAACACUAAACAAUAUAUAUAGAAAAAGUUAGGAUUCCAUCAAUAUUAAAUAUCAAUUAUGCGGAUUGUAAUUAAAUUAUCAAUUAAUUAAAAUGGUAAAAACACAUUCUUUUGGAUUUAGUUUUGGUAUGAGAGAAAUCAAUGAAUUUUGAUGUCUCUUAUUAAAUAAAUGCAUCCAUUGACGUGUUCGCUUCCUCUCCCUCCAUUUUCAAGUCUAGCAUAUCUAAUAAGCAAAAAGCGGUUGAAGAUCCUCUACUUCUCACCCCACCGUAACACAAUACACUCUCAAUCCAAAUAGUUAUCAUAAACCCACACGUCAACGAAACCACUCUUUUGACUUCAUCCUUAAUCCAAUCACACCACGCCACGUCAUCACCACGACCAAAUGUUUCUGUGAUCGAUCACACACACACAAAGAAGCGUAUCGGUUCUGUUUUGCUCCAACACAAAGCUUUCUCCAAAAAUUGGAUCGAAAAAAAAAACCUAACUUUGACAUGGAAGGAGAGAUUCAAGACUGGGAAAUACUUCAGAGCUCGAGAUCUACAACGGAGGAUGAUAACUCGAGGAACUUGGAGGAGAUUGAAGAUGUCACGCGAGGUAUGAUUAGGUUUGAUCACUUCUCUCUUGAGAACCAGAGUGGUUUGUCUCGUGUGGAGGCAAACGAUGAAGAUGGGUCUGUUCAAUCGGGUAGUCCAGGCUGGAUCGAACCUAGCUCCGAUGUUCCUUAUGGUCCUAAGCAUUUUAGUGAGUUAUGGUCUGAUUCAAGCAGUGAUCGGCUUGAGGAACAGAGGUUAGUGGAUGAUGAUGUGAAUAACGAAGUGGGUAUUGUUGAAUAUAGCGAAAGUAUAGUACAAGACAUGGAUUUGAUGAGCUCUGAUGAGAGAAAGGAUGAAUCUUUACUUCAUCCAGUGGAAGGAGAAGGAGACUCUGUUUCUGUUGAUCCUUGUGUUAAAUCUGGUGGUGGUGGUGGAGGAGGAGAAGAGAAGGGUUUUGUGUGGUGGAAAAUUCCAAUAGAGGUGUUGAAGUAUUGUGUGUUGAAAAUUAAUCCUAUUUGGUCUUUGUCCAUGGCUGCAGCAUUUGUGGGGUUUGUUAUGUUAGGGCGUAGAUUGUACAAUAUGAAGAAGAAGAGUCGUACCUUGCAGCUUAAGGUUCUUUUGGAUGAUAAGGUAAGUAGCUCGGUUUAUUCGAUUGCUAUUGUUCUUUUAAGUAUGUGAUUUAUGAGUUUGUGGUUAUUGUUAGAUCUUUUGGUGUGAGAUGAGAUUGCAUAGUUCAAACUUUUAUUGUUUAGUUAGAUGUUUUAUUAGUGUCAUUGUUGGUUUUGUUGGGGGAAAUUAGAAGAUCAGAAUCUCCUUCUUUGUGCUGUUGGUUGAGUUAAACUUUUUGUCCUGUGACCAGUUUUUGUUGUUGUUGUUGUUGUUGUUGUUGUUGUUGUUGUUGCGAGUUUUCUCUUUGCUAAGUAGUUUAGAUGCAACCAGCGACCCAUGAUCAUAGUAUUCACCAACAGUCAUGCACUCAUACUCCAUUUACACAAUCUUGAAAGUGUUUUUGUAAGCUCUUCGUUGUUAUUAGUUCUUUGAUAUAGCUCUGGUUGAAUUCUAGAUGGAUGCUUUUGGUAUGGAGAAGCAAAACUGUAGUUGCUGAGAGCAUUGUUGUAUGCGUUAGAAAGCCCCCUGAGUGAUCCAUCUCUUUCUGCUUCUUCAAUGUGGUUUUAUCUGCUUUAAUGAUUUGAACAUCAUGUUUAUCUUACAUUUUAGUUAUGCAUGUUCUUUUGUUAUGGGUAAAUGAUAGUUGAAAGGCCUAUAGAAACUAUAGACUAUGUGGUUUCUGACUUUGCCUUUCAGCAGUUAUUUGCUUUUGAUUCAUCUUUGUAACAUUUUCUUGUUUGGUAGUCAGAGAUGGAUACAAGUAGUGGUGAAACCUGAAAUUGUAGUUUAACUGGUCUUUCUAUGGUACAAAGCAUCUAUAAGGACCCGAGUUUGAAUCCUGCUUACGGUUGCAUAUAAAUUGGCGGAUCAUAUAUGUCUUUUGCUGCUGAAAUUCAUGUUCUUGCUUGACUUUUACUCAUCUUUCACUUAUGGAAAUAAAGAACAAAAGUUUGCGAGUAUUUCAGAACACAAUUCGGAAGACAUUUACACAAUCUGAUUCUUUUUUUGUCUUUCUUUUGAAUGAAAUACUUCUUCAGAAGGUGGCUAAUCAUGCUGCUCGGUGGAACGAAGCGAUUUCAGUAGUGAAACGUGUACCCCUAAUCCGGCCAGCACUUCCAUCAUCCGUGGGUAUGAUGAACCAGUGGUCCAUGAUGAGUUUAAGGUGAAAGAUAAGUGAAUUUGAGGGCAUAAUAAUGCAUAUAUGUGAGAUGAAAUGAUUGAUAUGGUUGGUGCAUGUAUCAUAUGAUUGUAUAAAAAUAUAACAAGUCUCAAAAUGUUACAAAAACAUACA
rnacentral:lncRNA from 1 species